AAACAACACCACUCUCGACAUCGAACAUCUUUGUGUGGAUGACAGUGGCCGGCUGGAGCAUCGUUGCAGCCUAAUUACCGUGAACUGAACACACUGAUCACGCGGUCGUGUCGUAGCAAAUAAAGUGACUGAUGGAGGGUGCAACUCAAACAGUGUCUGGAAAUCCAGAUUUGGAUGACUUGAUCAAGCUAUGCUUUAGACUUGGAUUCAGCAAUAAGGAAAUACUUGCAAUUUUAGCACAUAAUGCUCAAACUAUUAAGUAUUCGGACUCUGAAAAGGAUAUGCAAAAGACUUGGUCUUUUUCAAAGAAAGAACCAGUCAGACCUGGGAGACGUGUUGGCUUUUGUCCAGCAUGAGAUCCUGACUAGUGGACAGAUGCAAGGUUAUCGCUGGCUUCAUCUGCGUGCCAUUCAAAAAGGAUUUGUUGUGUCACAAGAUACAAUAAGACAAAUUAUAAAAUUGGUUGACCAAUACAACUGUCGGGGGCCAAAUGCUCUUUGGCACCUGGAUGGCUAUGACAAAUUAAAGCCCUCUGGGAUUGGCAUCAAUGGCUGUAUUGAUGGCUUAUUGAUGAUUGUGUUAUGGGCGGAAGCCUAUACCACAAACAGUGACCCUAAGGUGGUUGCAAGUUUCACGCAUCAGUGGGUGUCCAGAGAGGAUCCAUGCAGACGGGCACAGAAAAUGUUUGUGUUGAACAGACGCAGAUGUUUGUGCGUAGAAACCACUCAGACAAUUUUCCUGCGGAGAAAAGUUUCCUUUAUGGAAGAAUUACAGGCAAUCAGCGUAUUGAAGGGUGGUGGUCAACCCUUAGCAAACAGAGCGCACAGUUUUGGAUUAAUUUAUUUCAAACUCUUCAGGAUGAUGGCCACUUUUCAGGAGAUUUCUGGAUAAAAGUCUUAUCUGGUUCUGCUUUCUUAAUCUUGUGCAAGAUGAGCUGGAUGAAGUUGUGAACACGUGGAACGCACACAAAAUAAGACCAAGAUUGCACCGUGAUACAGCUUCAGGUCGAUCAGUCGUCAUGUGUUCAUUCCCUGAGAUGCACAGUGCAGAGGAUCAAUUAAAACCUGUUGGAACGGAAGAGGUCACUGCAUAUAUGGAAGAGUGCACUGCAAAAGGCAAUUUUCCUUGUGAUGAAACUGUAUUUGAACUGUGUUGCUUGCUUAUGGAGGAAAAUGAAUGGCACGCGCCAUCAGAUCCUUUGGAUGCAAGUGACUUGUAUGUUAAAUUGAGAGAGGAAGUACUGAAGUCUAUUUGACAUGUGUACUGAUGCAAUUUUUAGAACUGAUAGUGAUGAGAAAAUGAAGCUUCAAAUUUGCUCCAUAAACCAGUUGUUGUUUUUUGACUCCUCUAGAUUGCACUCUUUUCAGCAGUGGGCUGGAAGUGCACAGACUUGCCCUUUCUGAAACCCCUUUAUUUUAAACAACAGUGCCAUGGCUCCAGCAUGCCCCGUGACUUUUGUGAGGAUAAGUGGAUCAAAAGUGGAUGGAUGUCUUAUUGUUAAUAUUGAUAGAAAACAUGUCCAUACUUUUUCUGAUCCGCUUUAUCCUCACAAGGGUCACGAGGUAUGCUGUGCAGCCUAUCCCAGCAGUCGUUGGGCAGU